AAAUGCAUCUGCUCCUCAUGAUGUUACUUUAUAAUGCAGGGCCACCAUAGCUGGGCAAGGGGUGCCCAAAUUUAACUGGGGCCUAUGUGAGUCUGACAAAAAAGGACCGAGAUUCUAUUGCUAUCUGGAAGAUUAUCACUCCACCUCUUGUUGCAGAACGUGAUGGUGAGUAACCGAAGGUUAACAGGAUUCCUGCAUGUCAACUAUGCUUAUUGCUUUUCUGUAGUUUGUGGUGGGUAAGAGAAUAUCAGGUUUCUCUAACCAGACCACAUCAAGGUAACAGAUUUCAGGUAUCUGAAGCCUAUGAUGGGACUAUAAUUGUCUGUGUGUGUAUGGGAACAUCAGAUUUCCUUUCAUACGAAAAGUGGCUGAAUCAGUAGAAUAGUUGAUUUCCAAAGGAGAAGUAGCCAACUUUAGCAGAUCUUUAACAAACCUUGAAAAUAUAGUAGAGAAAAAUUGUAUUCUGAGCUACUGUCUUUUUGGUUUAUGUUUUGCUUUUCUUCUGUGAAAACUAUUUAAUUCAUGUUGUUACCAUGCUGGAUGUAUUUUGUAUGUCUGUAUAUUUACAAAGUAAGGCUAAGACAACAAUAUUGCCAUGUUGUGAUUUUAAAAAUUAAGGG